UACAGAGGGGGCAAGCGUUAUUCGGAAUUAUUGGGCGUAAAGGGCGCGUAGGCGGCCUGGCAAGUGGAAGGUGAAAUCCCUCGGCUUAACCGAGGAACUGCCCUCCAAACUGCUUGGCUUGAGUCCGGGAGAGGUGAGUGGAAUUCCCAGUGUAGCGGUGAAAUGCGUAGAUAUUGGGAGGAACACCAGUGGUGAAGGCGGCUCACUGGCCCGGUACUGACGCUGAGGUGCGAAAGCGUGGGGAGCAAACAGG
rnacentral:rRNA from 1 species